AAUGUUCACAGAGCCAGGCAGAAAUGGUUUGAAUUUUUGGUAAGAAAGUUUCCAUUAUCAUCAACUCUGUUAUUGUGGAGUAGUGGAAAAUGGGAAAGAAUCCCUAAACCAGCCAUUACCACACUUUUGUGUGCUUGAAAUAUGUCCGAGGGGGUAUGGGGGUGGGGAGAUGUUAAAAAUUCAAAGUCCUGGGCCCAUUCCAGAGAGUCUAAUUCAGUAGGUCUGGGACAGGGCUUAGGACUCUGCAUUCUUAAUAUGUGAGAUGCUCUAUUACCCCCAAGGAUUCUGAUGUCAGUAAUACCAAAGCAUGUCUUAAAUACCAUUUUCAGCCAUGACAGCAUCACCUAAGUCUUAGGUAGAAAAGCAGUGUUCCAAAUUGGCUAUGAACACUAACUGCACAUAAAAUCAUCUAGGUACAUUUUGAAAAAUACUAAUAGCCUAGACCUCAACUCAAAUCAGUUGAAUUGGAAUUUCUUAAGACUGGGGCUAUGUAUUAGACAUUGCUAUAAUAAUGCUGUAUAACAAACAUCUCAAAACUCAGUGGCUUAAAGCAACAAGCCUUCAUUUCUCACUUACAGGUUUGUUGCUGGACUGGAGCUUGGCUGAACUAAGCUGAGCUCAGCUGGGCAAACGCCCUAGACUACAGGUUGUAUUCAGCUGAGAUUUAUGUAUGUUUCAUACUCCUUAGAUCAGUGGCUACCUGGGGUACUUAUUCUCAUGACCCAUCUCUGGAGUGUGAGGGACAAGCCAAACAAAGUACAUUAAGGCUUCUGCUCAUAUCAUGUCCAGUAGUAGAGACAGCCAAGCCUAAUAUCAACGAGAUGGGAAAAAUACCUUGCUUAAUGGUUUGAAAUAUCACAGGGCUCCAUCCCAGACCAAUCAAACAAAAACUUCUGGAGUGGGGUCUGGGAACUGACAAAGCCCCUAAAAUAUGUGGGUGGAGUUGGGACUCCUCCUUCCAAAGAUGAUUCAGGUCCCAGGCGGUUAACCCUGUGUCAAGGAAUUACAGCCCUAUGCACUUGGAAUACCACAUGAGAAGCAAGCUCCAGGGCAAUAGGAUCCUAAUUAAUGAUAGAGAAAAUAAUAAAAGUCAAGCAAAGUACAUUAUUUUUCCAUGUCACCCUUUCAUGUAUUUAGAUUCUAUCUUGUUCUGCACUGUCAACCCCCAGCUCAUUUGAUCUUUACACUGUUGGUUCCACUGAUCACUGUCCACGUGCCAUACUAUCACAUCCCCUCACCCCAUCUCACUCUUAAGAUGUACUCCAGAUGUUUUUAUGUGCACCUCUUUAAUCUGGGGUUCUCCAGAAUAUCCCUCAGUGCUCUUGCUGUGGCCUUGACUCAAGAACAAUCUAAUCAGACCCCUUGCCUUGAGACCAAAUUCCUGUUAACUCAGCCCAAUUAAAACCACCAGGGAGGAAAUGGCACCUGCUCACCCAGGUCAGUGGCAGUGGCCCUGGCUCAAUAUCAAGAUCAGCUUCUCAGCCUGUUGCCCUCCCUUUGGGGUCUAUUCCCAGCUCUGCCUCCAACUCCCUCAGUUUCCUUGGAUGAGUCGCCUCGUCUCUAGGUCCCAGUUUUCUCAUCUGGAAGAAGGAUUCUGGAGACACCCAUGCCCUUCUGCUCUGCCUUUGGUGAGUUCGUGUUAUGGGGGCCCGAGAAUGGUCCACAGAGGAGCUCUGUUAUAGUCAGGGGGGCUUGAAGAAAGCCCAGACACUAACCUGGAGUUAUUUCUCAGCAGCUCACUUGUGAAAGGCUCAGGUGAAGGCUGUGCGGCUCCAGAAAAGGUAAUUGCUUUGUUGCUGUUAACAGCACAAGCCACUAACCACAUCCUCUCUCCUGCACAGUGACUGGGCUCCCAGUAAGGAGGCUCCCAGUAAGGAAUCUCCCAGUAAGGAAGAGCUUUUAUCACAGCUGGGAACAGAGCCAUCUAGGACGCAGUUCCUGAGACAAUGAGCCCACCUGAUGCAGUAUCAGGGGAGCUCACAGGCCGCACUCCUUUUGGCAGUAAAGCUCUGGCUUUGUAGACAUUCUCCCUGCUCACUGCUUUCCUCUUGCCCCUGCAUCUGAAUCCUUGGGAUGGUGAUGUGGAGAUUAUUCAUCCAACUUCCCUUCACCAAGUCCCUUUGUGGCCUGGCCCCGCCUCCCCCUCUGUGCUUGUCUCUUUCUCUCUCCCCCUUCUUUACCAUAUACCUGUCACAUCAGCCUCUUAGACAUUCCCAAAACACACUAACUUCUUUCCCUCUUACUAGCCGGACUCCAGGAGCCACAAUCACACCCUCAGGAAAGUGUCUGCUCCUACACCAGCAUCUUAUCCCAAUGGCCUAUGUUCUUUCUCCAAUAUCAGCACCAUGCCUUCCUCUCCAAGCAUGGACCGAGAGCGAUUCUCAGCCCCCUUUCCACAGAAUCCAUGUAUCAGCCUUCAAUAAAAAAAGAGAGAGAGAGGUAAGAGAAACCCAAAAGAUUUAUUUCUUUCAUACUUCACGUUAAAAAUUUGGAACAGCACAGUACAUGGAUGCACGAUGGGUCUCAGUUUAGACAAACUUACUAGAUUUAGGAGUCUUAUUUUCUCUUCAGGAGCUGUACAGAGGGUUAAAUAGUAUAUGAUUCAUAAGUUUUACAUUCAUUAGUAUCAUUUCUAUGCUGCCAAAUGCAUAAUUCUGACUCACAGUUCCCACUGAACCUAUAAGCAAGAGGAUUUAUUUUACUGUUUUAUUCAUUGAUUUUCCUUCCCUUUUCAGUGUUUCCUUAAGGCUGUGUCAUGGGCAAAAUUUCACCUGUGAUUAGAUGUGGGAUUAACAGUGAUGGGAGCUGGGAAUCUGAGUACCAGUCUCUGAUUGGCUGGUACUUACACUUGGGUAGGAUGAGGAUGUUUUUCAGGAGGGGUAUGGUCCCAGCCAAAAUUCUCUAACCAGGACAGAGAAGCCUUACUUUCUAGAAAAAGUCAAAGUUCUGAUAACAAUGUCUAAACCUUAACACCAGGGUAUUAAGAAACUCCUCCCUAAUAUUUCAUAUUUUUGGCAGCUUGGACAAAAGAAUGUAUUUUUCUUUUAAUCUGACAUUCCCCAAAUUCAUAAAUAGCCCCCAUCAUGAAUAGGCUGUUCAUAGAAAAGGCAUACAAAAAAUAUUCACUCUCACAUAUGAUGAAAUAAUUUGCAUUUAAAACAACAAAAUGGAAAUUUUUUUACCUAGCAGAUGGCACAAUGCUAUUUUAGUAGGUGUGGAAAAAUUUUGAUGGGAGAGUACAUUUGCAUAGCUCUUUGGCAAUGGACACCAAAACAGAAAGUGUAUAUGAUGCCUGAUUUAGCAAUUCCGCUCCUGGGAGUCUCCCAGAGCCAUAGUGGCCCAUGUAGAGGAACAUUGCUGGAGAAAAUCCCAUGCCUAUGCAGACUGGAUUCACCUUGAAUUUAAUCUCAAGUGUGGAGAAAAGGGAGUCCUCCUACACUGUUAGUGGAAACGUAUAUUGGAGCAACCACCACGGAGAACAGUAUGGAGAGUCCUCAAAAAACUAAAAAGAGAGCUACCACAUGAUCCAGCAAUUCUACUCUUGGGCAUACAUCUGGAAAACAGGAAAACUCUAAUUUGAAAAGAUAUGUGCACCCCAAUGUUCAUAGCAGCAAUAUUUAUAAUAGCCAAGACAUGGAUGUAUACUAAGAGUCCAUUGACAGAGGACUAAAGAUAUGGUACAUAUAUAUAAUGGAAUAUUAUUCAACCAUAAAAAAGAAAGAAAUAAUGCCAUUUAUAGCAACAUAGACGUACCUAGAGAUUAUCAUAAUAAGUAAAGUCAGACAGGAAAAGAAAAAUACCAUAUGACAUCACUUAUUGUGAAACCUAAACUAUGACACAAAUGAACUUAUCUGUGAAACAGAAACAGACUCACUGACAUAGAAAACAAACUUAUGGUUACCAAGAGGAAAGGGAGGGAGGAGGGAUAAAAUAGCAGAAUGGGAUUAAUAGAUAUACACAACUAUGUAUAAAUAGAUAACCAACAAGGACCUACUAUAUGGCACAGGGAACUAUAUUAAAUAUCUUUUAAUAACCUAUAAUGGGAGUUCCUGUUGUGGCUUAGCAGUAAUGAACCUGACUAGUAUCCAUGAGGAUGUGGGUUUGAUCCCUGGCCCCACUCAAUGGGUUAAUGAUCCAGCAUUGCCCUGAGCUGUGGUGUAGGUCUCAAUAAAAAAUAAAUAAAUAUAUAUAUAUAUAUAUAUGAUAUACACACAUAUCCCAUAAUGAAAAAGAAUCUGAAAAAGAAUAUAUAUGUAUAUAUGUGUACAUAGGCAUCUGAAAAGAAUAUAUAUAUAAUCACUUUGCUGUACACCUGAAAAUAUGAUAUUGUAAAUCAUCUAUUAUUCAAUUUAAAAGUAAAAAUAAUAAUAUUAAUUUUACCUCAAAUCUUAAAUAUGCACCCCAACCCUGCUUAGGAAUUCCACAAUGCUUUCUUAAUCAAAUGACUUUCUGCUCUUCUAUAUAGCCACAUCAUAGAAAUUUAGGGCCCCUCACUCCCUAAAUCUCUAACUUCUUUGAGCUGGAGACCCCGCCUCAGUCUUCAUGGAGAAAGUGAUGCAGAUACACACUCUUCCCCAUUAAAAAAUUGUGGUGUGUCGUUCUACCACGGGGAGGGAAGAUAGCAUAAGAGGUGAAUGGGUUUAAAUACCGCAUGUCAGCAUAAGACUUUGGUCAAGUCAUAUGAACUCCCUGAAAUUCAGUUUCCUCAUCUAUAUAACCAAAAUCUUAGUCAGGGCCAUGGACAAAAGAGAAGAAUCAAGAAUGACUCCUUCGAGUUCCCGUCAUGGCGCAGAAGGAACGAAUCCGACUAGGAACUAUGAGCUUGUGGGUUCAAUCCCUGGCCUUGCUCAGUGGGUUAAGGAUCUGGCAUUGUUGUGAGCUGUGGUGUAGGUCUCAGAUGCAGCUUGGAUCUGGCAUUGCUAUGGCUCUGGUGUAGUCUGGUGGCUACAGCUCCAAUUAGACCCCUAGCCUGGGAACCUCCAUAUGCCAUGGGUGCAGCC
rnacentral:lncRNA from 1 species